rnacentral:rRNA from 1 species
CCUACGGGCGGCAGCAGUGGGGAAUAUUGGGCAAUGGGCGCAAGCCUGACCCAGCAACGCCGCGUGAAGGAAGAAGGCUUUCGGGUUGUAAACCUCUUUUAUCAGGGACGAAGCAAGUGACGGUUCCUGCUGAAUAAGCGACGGCUAACUACGUGCCAGCAGCCGCGGUAAUACGUAGGCGGCAAGCGUGAUCCGGAUUUACUGGGUGUAAAGGGCGUGUAGGCGGGAGUGCAAGUCAGUUGUGAAAACUAUGGGCUCAACCCAUAUACUGUAUUUGAAACUGUACUGCUUGAGUGCUGGAGAGGCAGGCGGAAUUCCGGGUGUAGCGGUGAAAUGCGUAGAUAUACGGAGGAACACCGGUGGCGAAGGCGGAUUGCUGGACAGUAACUGACGCUGAGGCGCGAAAGCGUGGGGAGCAAACAGGAUUAGAUACCCGAGUAGUC